CCUACGGGCGGCUGCAGUGGGGAAUAUUGCACAAUGGGGGAAACCCUGAUGCAGCAACGCCGCGUGAGCGAUGAAGGUUUUCGAAUCGUAAAGCUCUGUCCUAAGGGAAGAUAAUGACGGUACCUUAGGAGGAAGCCCCGGCUAACUACGUGCCAGCAGCCGCGGUAACACGUAGGGGGCAAGCGUUAUCCGGAAUUAUUGGGCGUAAAGGGUGCGUAGGCGGCCUUAUGGGUCAGAGGUUAAAUACUAUAGCUUAACUAUAGUCCGCCUUUGAAACUAUAAGGCUUGAGUGCAGGAGAGGAGAGUGGAAUUCCUAGUGUAGCGGUGAAAUGCGUAGAUAUUAGGAGGAAUACCAGUGGCGAAGGCGACUCUCUGGACUGCAACUGACGCUAAGGCACGAAAGCGUGGGUAGCGAACAGGCUUAGAUACCCGUGUAGUC
rnacentral:rRNA from 2 species